AUUGAACGCUGGCGGCAUGCUUUACACAUGCAAGUCGAGCGGCAGCGCGGGGCAACCUGGCGGCGAGCGGCGAACGGGUGAGUAAUGCAUCGGAACGUGUCCAUGUCGUGGGGGAUAGCCCGGCGAAAGCCGGAUUAAUACCGCAUACGCCCGAGAGGGGAAAGUGGGGGACCGCAGGGCCUCACGCGAUUGGGUCGGCCGAUGUCCGAUUAGCUAGUUGGCGGGAUAAAGGCCCACCAAGGCGAUGAUCGGUAGCUGGUCUGAGAGGAUGAUCAGCCACACUGGGACUGAGACACGGCCCAGACUCCUACGGGAGGCAGCAGUGGGGAAUUUUGGACAAUGGGGGCAACCCUGAUCCAGCCAUUCCGCGUGAGUGAAGAAGGCCUUCGGGUUGUAAAGCUCUUUUGUCCGGAACGAAACGGGUAACGUGAAUAUCGUUGCCUACUGACGGUACCGGAAGAAUAAGCACCGGCUAACUACGUGCCAGCAGCCGCAGUAAAAC
rnacentral:rRNA from 1 species